rnacentral:rRNA from 1 species
GUCCUUAGGAAAUAUAAAAUAGAAUUAAAAACCAACAAAUAUGUGAAAAUUCAUUGUUGGAAUUAAACUCAGUAACGAAAGUAAUUCUAAUUAUCUUAAUACACGAUAGCUAAGAUCCAAACUGGGAUUAGAUACCCCACUAUGCUUAGCCUUAAACCUCAAUAAUUUAAUAACGAAAUUAUUUGCCUGAGAACUACUGGCCACAGCUUAAAACUCAAAGGACUUGGCGGUACUUUACAUCCGUCUAGAGGAGCCUGUUCUAUAAUCGAUAAACCCCGUUAUACCUCACCAUCCCUUGCUAAUUCAGCCUAUAUACCGCCAUCUUCAGCAAACCUUAAAAAGGAAGAAAAGUAAGCGAGAGAAUCAGCAUAAAAACGUUAGGUCAAGGUGUAGCCUAUGAGAUGGGAAGCAAUGGGCUACAUUUUCUUUACAAGAACAUUACGAUAUCCUUUAUGAAAUCUAAAGGACUAAGGAGGAUUUAGUAGUAAAUUAAGAAUAGAGAG